UCUUCUGGGAGCUUUUCUUUUGUAGUCUAUGGGGUUUGGUGGGAAGCCAACUACAACCGGCUACAGCGUCUCCCAGACCAAGGUUAAUGCUGGAAGUGUUUUCAAGCAGCUCUGCUACUGGUAUCUCCACAAAGGAUUCCUUUAACUGUAGAGACAAAAAGUACAGACGAAGUUGAAGAAGUCAAGCAAACAUUUUGCAAAACAAGUCAAAGAUCUUCUGAACUGAGCCAUGGCAAAGUCCUGUCCUUCGGGAGAGGGGGAGCUUGUUCCGCCUGCAGAUUAGCCAUAGGACACUUACUGGUGUGACAUGGAAAGAGGUAUGCACAGAAGGAUAUGCUGCUUCCGAAGCAGUGGGGAAAAGGAGAG